AAUCAACGCUGGCGGCGUGCCUCAGACAUGCAAGUCGAACGCGAAAUUUCCCUUCGGGGAGAAGUAGAGUGGCGCACGGGUGAGUAACACGUAGGUAAUUUGCCUUUGGGUGGGGAAUAACUCAGGGAAACUUGAGCUAAUACCGCAUAAUGCAGCGGCUCGACAUCGAGACAGUUGUUAAAGCGGGGGAUUGGAGCAAUCCGACCUCGCGCCUAAAGAGAAGCCUGCGGCAGAUUAGCUAGUUGGUAAGGUAAUGGCUUACCAAGGCGACGAUCUGUAACCGGCCUGAGAGGGCGGUCGGUCACACUGACACUGACAUACGGGUCAGACUCCUACGGGAGGCAGCAGUCGGGAAUUUUGGCAAUGGGCGCAAGCCUGACCCAGCAAC
rnacentral:rRNA from 1 species